UCAGCUGCCUUUUUGAAAGAGGAACGUCGGAGGGCGGGUUCUGGCCAAGGUGGUCCCUGAUUGGUGGAGCGCGAAGCGGGUGUUGGGGGUCCUGAUCACGUGAUCGAUGGGCGGGGUGAAUUCGGAGAGCCGGACCUGGAUUGCGCUGCUGAGCUGGCCUCGUUUGGUCGGGUGAGACUGAGCGUGGGGUGCGAGAAGACUAACUACGUACUACAACUGGUUCCUGUUUUUCUAGGGCACGUGGACUAGGGGGUUGUAUCCUACUUCAUUGCACCGGUGAGAUCAUGAGUUUCCCUGCCAAACUCUUUACAAUGUAAACAGUGCAGCAAGUAGGUGUCUUUGGGAGGAGCCCUCUAUCUUUCACACUUCAGGACUGCCUCAUCCUGAUUCAAAAGAAAACAAACAAGCCUGACCUCCACCUCACUGUACACCUGUGAAAGAUUUGGGAACUCAGAGCAAUAAAUUUUCCUCUGAGGACUGCUUUCAUUGUAUCCCACAGAUUCUGGACUGAAUAAUAUGAGGAUCGGCCUCUACCUGCUGGAUGCCAACACUGGAAUGCCCUUUCCUCUCAGUGUGGGCAGAGAGAGAGCCAGAGGAUCUUCCUCUGCCUGCCAGAUGCCACCACCAGAAGGCCCUUUCUUUCACGUGCCCAGCAUGAGCAAAGAGAGCCAAAAGAGCCACCUCUGCCUGCUGUGCACUGCCACCUAAAGGCCGCAGCCUGCAGGUCACCAAUGUGGGUAGAGAGAACCAACAGAUCCAACUUCACCUUCAGGGAGUUUCCACCAGAAGGCUCCUUCCUACAGGCAGCCAGUAGACACAUAGCCUGGUAAGCCCUUUGCAUCUGUAGGUCACCAUUUGAGGCCCUUGGUUCCCUCAGACAGCCAUCAUCCAAUAGCAGAAUCAGACAAACAUACCUUUAUAUAUCUGCCAUCAUUGUGGGAGUGCCAGUGUAGACACAAAGGCUGAGAGAAGCAGCCCCACCUGUAUGCAACCCUGAUCAUCAGCAAAGCUCCAGUGUAGCUGCAUAGCUCUGGAGAAGCCUGCUUCACACUAUGCUACCUCCCUAUAAAUCUGGAAUUAGAGGAACCCAAGUACCUGUCUCAUCCACCUACACUGCCUAGGUGUAGCCAAGGCAGAAAGCGCCUGGGGCCCCACAACUAGCUUGUUGGGAGGAACUCAGGAGAAUGUCAAGAUGAAGGAGUAAAAGGGAAACUCAGCUAGUCCACACACAGUAAUUCUGGGAGAUACAUUCAUGGAAGAGAACAGAAGUCACACACCUGGAAUCUCUGAGAGGCUACCAAUAGGAAACAAUUUCAAGAGAUUGUAAAAGCAGUCAAAUCAGAAAUAAUGUCUCAGGUAAAAGAAGAAAUCACAAACAUACUGAAAGAAUUGUUCAGCAGAUCUAAAGAAGAUGUAGACAAAAAAGACGAGCAUAGGAAAAUGAUGGAAACCUUGAAUGAGUGUAGAAAAGAAUUACAAUUUAUGAAACAGAUUGGAAGAGAGAUCCAGAAAAUUAAAAACUCAAUUGAAAGCUGGCAAAACUGCUUGAAAGAGAUGAAGAUAGACUUUCAAACCUUGAAGACAGAAUUGUAGCUAGUGAUCGUGAAAGGAAAGAACUCUUAAAAAUAACACAGAAUCAGGAAAUAACAACAGUUGCAAGAUGGUGCAAGGAAGCAUAAUUUAAGAAUGAUAGGUGUCGGUGAAGAAGCAGGGGUCAAAACAAAGGAAAUUCAUAGAAGUAAUAGAAGAAAACUUUCCAAACAUGGGAAACGGAUCUGGCAUGCAGAUAAGUGAGGCAUAUAGGACUUCAACUAGCCAUAUGAAAGUAAAUCUACAAAGUAAAUCAAGAUCCCAGAAAUUCAGCACAAGAACAGAAUAUUAAAAGCUGUCAGAAAAAGACACAGAUUGCCUAUAAAGGAAAACCAAUCCGAAUCACAGCAGACUUAUGAACACAAAUCAUCAAAUCAAGAAGAGUUUGGAGUGAAGUGUUUCAAACUCUGAAAGAAAGCAACCUCCAACCCAGAUUGAUCUACCCAGAAAAGCUCUCUUUCAAAAUAAGAUACUUCCAUUGUAAAGAACAACUGAAGGAAUUCAUGACUACCAAACCAACACUACAGAGAGUGCUAAAGGAUAUUCUAGAGAGAGAUAAAGAUGAACAUGGUUUCAGGAACAGCAGUAGAGGAGGAUUGCCAAAUAAGACAGGCAAUUGAAUGAAGGGGAAAAGUGGAGGCCCAGCAACAGGAGGAUAGCAGGGUAGAGACAAACCAAUGUGUGCUGUUUGUAACCAUUAAUGUAGAUGGCCACAGGUUAGCAAUAAAAAGAAGCACAGGGAUAGUGGAUCAAGAAGCAAGAUCCAUCAAUAUAUUGUAUACAAGAAACAUACCUAAUUGGAAAGGAUAUUCAUAGACUGAAAAUUAAAGGAGAGAAAACAAUUGUUCUAUGUGAUAUGAGACAAAAAAAAAAAGCAAGAGUAACUUGCCCACCAACUACAGAAUGGAUAAGAAAGAUACGGUAUUUUCAUGAAGUGGAAAGCUACCAGGCUAUAAAAUAGUGCUGUGUUGCUUGCAUUGUCCAUUUCUGAUUUGAUUUGUUCUGUUCUCUGUUUUCUUCUCUUUAAAGUAAAAUAAAAUAAAAUAAUUCACAAGUAAGAUUGAAUAAUUUACAGUAAUGAAUAAAAAGAACAGGAAAAAGAGAAAAAACAGGGGAAA